rnacentral:rRNA from 1 species
UGGGGCUACACACGUCAUACAAUGGCCGGUACAAAGGGCAGCCAACCCGCGAGGGGGAGCCAAUCCCAUAAAGCCGGUCGUAGUCCGGAUCGCAGUCUGCAACUCGACUGCGUGAAGUCGGAAUCGCUAGUAAUCGUGGAUCAGCAUGUCACGGUGAAUACGUUCCCGGGUCCUU